rnacentral:rRNA from 1 species
GUGGGGAAUAUUGGGCAAUGGGCGAAAGCCUGACCCAGCAACGCCGCGUGAAGGAAGAAGGUUUUCGGAUUGUAAACUUCUGUCCUCAGGGAAGAAGGAAGUGACGGUACCUGAGGAGGAAGACCCGGCUAACUACGUGCCAGCAGCCGCGGUAAUAUGUAGGGGGCGAGCGUUGUCCGGAAUGACUGGGCGUAAAGGGCGCGUAGACGGUUUUGUAAGUCUGGAGUGAAAGUCCUGCUUUCAAGGUGGGAAUUGCGUUGGAGACUGGGGGACUUGAGUGCGGAAGAGGUAAGUGGAAUUCCCAGUGUAGCGGUGAAAUGCGUAGAGAUUGGGAAGAACACCAGUGGCGAAGGCGACUUACUGGGCCGUAACUGACGUUGAUGCGCGAAAGCGUGGGGAGCGAACAGGAUUAGAAACCCUGGUAGUCC